GAAAAUUUAAUUGCUGAAGUUGAUUGCGAGCUUAUGCAUGCUGAGGUUGAUCACCAUAUGGGUACUGGUGGAUUAUCAACAGAUGCAGAUUAUAGAAUAGGAUCUAUGUUAAGAGAACAAAUAGUAGUGCAAAUGUGGAAUGACUAUCAUAAUAACUUGUAAUCGUAAUAACUAACAAUGUGCGACUAGUAUGUAUGAUUUCUUAACAUUUUUUCCAUGUUGGAAAUAUGUUUAUUGUCAUUGUAUAGACAUGUCACUAGAUUUUACAUUCCAUGUUUACUAUGUUAUAUUUAGCAAGAAUUUGUUAUGCCAUUGCCUUACAGAUAAAUAAUGCCAAGGA
rnacentral:misc_RNA from 1 species